GUUUUUUGCACCAAGAAAGAGUAUUAUCAUGAAUGUAGAGAAUUGCUCCCGACAGAGUGCAACGUUUCACAAGGCCGUCCGUGUUCACACUCCAAUUUCGUUCACACCUUGCAGACACAGGCAGACACACAUUAUCCACUUAAAUCCGCUCAUGUCUGCGAUCAAGCCAGAUGCAGUCAGAUUCAAUUUUAUCCAGCGCACGUUUUUAUCUCAUCUCCCAACCCGAACCGAUUUCGCUUUCAUUCGCACGGAGGUUUGUGUGCACUUGUUUUUUGGGGAAAAAAGAUUUUUUGUGUGUGUAUGCCUUAGAUCAGAUCAGAUCCAACUGAUUGAAGCUUUUUGUGUAAUUUGCCGCAAGUAAAGCGAGGCGUACGAUGAUAAAUGGCUCUGCACAACGCAGACCCAAAUUUCAUACCCAUCUCUCAACUGCAACCAGUUGGCGCAAAUUUACCAUAUCAAAUUUGGAAACAUUGUUUUUUGUUUGGGCUUUUAAAUUUGCAACACCGAUCCACCCACCCAGAAAGCGGGGGUGUACAUGAAAUCGUAUCGGACACGAUCAUACCAUCAACCCCGAGCAGUACGGGCUGGCACGUGCACCUUUUGCACAUCGUGGCAGAAGCAUAACUUGGAACGAAAGUGUGAGUGCACAAAGAAAAAAGUGUGAUAGUUUCACACCAAUUUGGAUGGAUCGGUGAGUCAAUGUUAUCAACAACAUGAUGCUCAUGUGUUUUUUUUUUCACUUUUUAUUCGCAACACCUGUAAUUAUUUCAUGCGAUAGAGAUAGCAGCAGCUUUUGGGAGUGCAGUGUGGGGCACAUGUAUGCCAAUGUUCAUUUCGAAAUGAGUUUCAAAUUGAUCUCAAAAGGCAUGCAAUUAGCUGAUUAAGGUUGCACGAAACCGUGAAGGGUGGUAGUUUCGUUGAGACAAUUAUGAUAAUUGAACGACAUGUCGUCAGAAUGCUUUCGAUUCAAUCAAAUCGAGCUGAAUGGGUGGGAUGGACCUUUGGGAACGUUUUUAUUAAGAAAUAAACAAUAACAACAGCAAAAAUAAUGCAGUUAUACUACAUGAAGAAGUCUAACAGUCCAAAUGAUUUUAAAACAAAUAAGUCAUACUUUACAAGACGUUAUAAUUGUUGCGUCGUUUGCUGCAACAGAAGACCCAUUAUCUGUGUCGAUCAAGCCAAUCAGAUUUUCCGCCUUUUGUAUCUGACACAUCAAAGCUAACUCUCGCACAUCGCCAUCUUAUUGUCCUUCAUUGGCCUUCCAAGCUCUCCAAAGUUCUAAUAAUGGAGGAAGAAAUCACAACAUCAAUCUAAAAACAAAAGGAGAAUUCAUAACCGUAAUUUUGAAUUUUAAAAGCUAAUUUCAGGGAAUAGUUAAUCAAAAAUCAAACCCACUCAUCUUAUAUAAAGUCCUUAUUUAUUUUAAAUGUAUCCCUCACGAGUUAAAUUUUCUAGCUCAUCGAUCAGUAUCUUCUAUAAAGGUUAACACGACAACAUCAUUUCCCAAGGGAAUUAUAGAUUUUUAUACCAAAAUCUAGGACAACCACAAUGAAUGAUCUUCGAUCGUAUCGUGAGCGUACGUUAAAACGUUUACAACACUGUAUCUGCACUGGAUGUUACAGAAAAUUCAUCAUUUUAAUUAAGAAACUGCUUCACAUCACGUCUUAACGCUUUUGCCUACCCAUCGUACCGCUGAUACACCUCCAAGUGCGCCUGUUAACCUGCCCAUCCUUCGUUCGAACGCGGAAAUGAAACAAAACUGCACAAUAAUGUUUGAAUCGCGGAAGCAAAGUUCCAAAUUUUGUCGAGUAAACGAGAAAAGAAACCCACUACUAUUACUGUACCAGCAGCAUCAUCAUCAUCAUUCACGAACCGUUCGUGUUUUGAGAAGAAGCACCAUUUUUUUUUCAUCUUCAGGAUUGAGCACCCAGAACAAGCCCCGAAGAGUCGCAGUCACUUAAAACCGUUUUCUCAAUCAAUCGAGAUCUGCUAAGCGGGACGACGACAAAUUUCCGAAAUCAUCGUCCACCAGCACCAGUGUUCCCCAUUGGCCCCAAAAACGAUCGACAAACACCUCGGGGGUAUGAUCACCGUCCAGAGUGUACACAGCCGGCUGCACCAAUAAUUGCUGCUUGGGCAAUUGUGCUGACCGCACUACAACGACGGAGGCCACAAAGCAUUUUUGGCGAAGCGCUAAAGUACACCUGGCCUACAGCCCGGCCAAGACAAUUUGUGCUGUGUGGUUACGCCAACGGUGACGACGAUUUGCUGUCAACUGCUUGGUACAAAAUAAUCAAACCUCCUGUGGGGUUGUCCUACUUGCCGUGUUGUGCUGUGGAUGGAGAAAAUCGUUAAAAUUAGCUGUCAGGUACUAAUGAACAAACUGAACCAAAAGGCCUCAAAGCAUUGUCGUCAUGAGCACGAGAAGAUUUGAAACAAACGAAGAUCUGUACUUUGUACCUUGACUGUGGGAUGUUCACAUGGCCUUGAAUUGGAACAAAUUCUACCAGGAAUAGACUUGUAAGGACGGACAAUUUGACUACGUUAUAUAAAUUUGUUAUUUGAAAGGACUCAUAUCGAUCUCUCUUUUUCUUUCCUGGUCAGACUAUCCGUUAAGGUCAUGCCUGCCAUUACUUACUAGACUUAUUGUUACCGCAUAGUUGGAUAAGCAAAGCAGUCCUCACAAUGCGGGAACGGCGCAGAUAAGAUUUUAACCCCAGCCUGGCCGUGUGAAGAGCAGCGCCCCUGUCUACCACCGGACCGCGGAUCAGUUGUGUUUAGUCUAAAUCUCAAAAAGAAGUUAGUCCAAGAUCCGACCGAAAUCUUGGCUGCCCGGCGAUUAGCGAUGAGUUUUCCUGUUCUCAUCUCACGACUGUAUGAUGAUUUUGAUAUUUGAUGGAUGCCUGUUAAAAUGUUUAACUGAGUGUAGCUCAUGUCAUCACAGAACCCCAUUGCGAGAUGUCUAGACAAUCUUAACAGACAAGAAAAAAAUAUUGAGAUUGAUAUGAUAAUUGAUAUUGGUUUUAAUAACCUCAAAACCUUAAAGGGAUACACAAGUUAAUUUAUCUUUUAAUUGCUUUGAAUCUUCAGCUUAUCGCUUAUUUCUGAAAAGUGCGCACCUCAUAUUAAUAGGGAGCCCUACUCUACGCACAACCUGAUACUUUCAUACUAAUUGCCUUCACCUUAUUAGAAAACCCUUAGGCUCGUUCCAUGUUUUUUCAAAUCCUCAUUUACUCACGAUUGUAGAGGCUCUCAAUAUCGCCUUCAUUUUAACGUGACUUCAACACAUGCUAGACGAGAAGCUGGAUCCAGCCGGAAUAUACGGUGCAUCUCGUUGACCCAAAAUCGCGCUAUCAAUAAAUGACAGCCCGCAGAAUAGCUGACCGAAAAACUGUGGCCUGAACAAUAACCCAUUCCCCAUUCGGCUAGAUGGACGAUGGCAAAACAAACGGAACCAUCCGAUUGCUCCUAUCCUAUUGCACAGCACAUUACUCAGCGGUGCCAAUUCAAGUAGUAGUACGGUAGUGGAUGAACGGUGGGUACCCACUCUCGUAUCACUCUCAGCUGUGCUGCGAUGAAAGAGGUGAAUGAGCCGUGCUAAAUUUCAUGCAUCGGAGUAGAGUUAUCCGCAAGCCGCGUACUUACCCGAUUCGUAUGGAUCGAAGCGGCCGGAAUGUUUAACCCACUUAUAUCCAGGAGAAAUGAUGGACCUCGCUCAAGCCGGUCGAUGGCUCUCCACCACCGAACGGAAACCGUCCGUCGACCGAUCGAUAGUAUCGAGAAUCCGUCAAUGCGUACAUUUCCUACAACUAUGAUUAAUUUUCACACAAAAAUCGAAUCGAUGAAGCACAGUGAAUGGGAGAGGGGUGAAUAGCAGUGAACGGCAGGAAAACAACGCCCGCAAAAGAAAGCUAGCAAUCAAUCAAACGGAAUUUUUCAUUCAUCAGUUUAUUCAAUGCACGAGCAAUAGUAGUUUGUGAAAGAAGGCAGCACGCACCGCAUCCAACAGAGUGGAGUGGGCUUCCUGGCUUCGUUUGGGGCACGUUUGGGCAUACGAGUAAUGUGGUACUUAGCGCUAACGAUGGAUAAUCACACAAAUGAAGCAUUUUCCAGCUUUGGUUAGAGUGAAAAUUGUUUUUUUCCUUAGUACAACGGUUCCAAAAUACAGCCGCGGUACGUCGAGCACAUGGACCGGUGUUGUAGGUCUCGGCCUGAUUUCGAUUACUGUGUGUUGUGUCUUCUCACUGUUGGGCAGGGAGAACAAUUCUAUUGUGCGUUUGUUUCUUGUUUUCAAUUUCCGUUUUACAGCUCAACUUUCCUACUCUGCGUAGUGUAAUUUGAAGUUCCCCAUUUAUAUAUACUUUGUUCGUUUUUUUGAGCUCCAAGAUUAUCUCUUAAUGUUGAAGUACGUGUUUAAUUAUUUUCGUUUAGGCUUCUUUGUUUUACCAUCAUUGACCUCCUGACAUAUACUUGAAUUAUUCUUCAACGCGAACUUUCUCCUGUCAACUGGGUGGAAUCUCUCUGUUUUCCUCUCGUAAAAUGGACGAGUAAGAAAUGUAUGCUCCUCGAACCAAAAACACAUUCAUCUUCGCCUGCUGGGAAGAAGUACAGUGUACCUAAGCUCGUUUUGGAUGGAUGUUCAUCAAAGCGUGUAUUAAUUAUAGCGUUUGCACGUGGGGAAAAUAUUCAUAAUAACAAUAAACCAAGAGCAGAAAAAACGCACUUUAGACUCCAAAUGCAUAGGGCGGAGAUCUUAAAACCACAUUAAAGCAAAAGAAGCAUCAAUCCGAUGCAAAGCUCUCCGGCAGCAAUGAUGAAGCCUCGGUGACGUACAUCUUGUCCACCCUCCUGAUGGUCAAACUUUCGGUGGCAACAUUUUUUGCAAACCUAAAACCACAAUACCUUCAGCAAUAUCCAAUUGCAAGCAUUUGUAGGUUAAUUGUAAUGUCAGCGCACAAAAUCCGUUACGGAUUUUGUCUCGUAGGCGGAUCGCGCGCCACCGUCCAUCAUCAUGGUGGGGGCCCAUUGUAAGCGCCCUCUUACAUACGCCCCAUCAGCCGAACUGUUGGAUGCGAUGUUGGAUGAAAAUUAUGUGUGCCAUGGCUUCUUCGCGCAGUUUGACCCGAACCCUGCCCCGGGCCCAACUGUCUUCGCAGUUCCGCAAUCCAUCAUCAUGGCUGUGGCUCGCUCGGCACACGUCUUCACACUCAUAUCGGGGCAGUGUCUCCGAUGUGACGGUUCGUUACAAAUCGUUACCUUGCCAUUGCGCAAUCGCACACACCAAAACCGCAUGACACAUCCACUGCUGCCCUAUCGUGAUGCUACCCGGACGGUUUCUGUUUUCCUGCGUGGUCACAUCUUCCGGCAUCGUGCAGAAAUGUGAAGGAAACGAGACUACCGCCCGGUGGUGUCACUACCGAGUAAAGACGAGCGAUCAAGCUCUGUGUGAUGCUUGGUUUCCGUUUUCCAAAGUGCGCAAUAAAGAAGUGGCUUUAUGGUUUGGUCCGCUCUGCUCGGGGAAGCGUUCAAUGUUGAUCUUCCUGCAAUGGAACCAUAACCUUAGAGCAGGCUUAAUAUGACGCAUUCAAAACAAGGCGAUGAACAAGUUACAUUUCCAGCGUGAGAUCGAGUUUGAAUUGUGGAGUCUUCAUCUUUUUUCCCAUUUCAAGAUAAUUUCCAAGUACAAAAAAUACAAAAUAAACUGAUUAACGUCUCAAACAAGCAAUAGAUGCCUCCAAAACAUGGCUGAGCUAAUCAAGAAACAUACCGAGACGAUUUUAUUUUAAGAAGAUACCAAUCUAAAGGCACAUCAGAUAAAAAAGAUAAAAGAAAAGAAAUCAAAUUUAAUUCAAGUAAUGCUGGAUAGAAAGAUUUCAGUUCUAAUAGGCAUCAACUUUAGAAAGAGUUUGGCCCAAUGAUUCUAAAUAUCUGAAGCAGACAGAGACACAGAAGGAGAAGAGAUAUAACUCUUGAUAGUGAGAAAAUGAGACUCAAUAGGCUAGUUGGACUAACGAAAUUUGCGUUAUUUUUGUAUUGUGUGUAAUGUUAAAUGGAACUUAGAUAGAACUUGGACUUGUAGCACCUUGUCUAAUCAAUUCGUGUCAAUAGAAAAUCUGUUCAGGAAUUCUUGGAUAGACACAUGUCAAACCUUUGAUGUUUCGGUAAUUCUAAUUAUUGUUAUAUGACUCUUCAACUUCAAGAAUUCUUGCACUGCCCUUACUGGCUUUUUUGACAUGAUUAUGGACAUGGCUGGAUAGUCAGCUCUGCAUACGAUUUGAAGAUCUGGUUGACGUUAGUUUAUUAAAAGACUGAAAUGUGUCCAUACACAAAAAUCGGUAUUCGCUAGUGAAGCUUCCAGACAGUGCAACAGCUUCCAGUUCUUCGUGUAAAUAUGCCAUUUAAUCCAGAACAGACAUCAGAUAUUCAGUCCGUAAUAAUAAAAAAAAAAAAA